rnacentral:pre_miRNA from 1 species
CGCGCCUUUUUUGGAUAUCGGUGACUGUUCUGCACAGUGCAGAAUGGUGAUUGUUGCGUCCGCAGAAGACGCAGGUCUGGAUGAACCUUUGGUUUUGUGUUUUAGGUUCA